UUUUGGAACAUAUGAACCCACAACUAUGAGACCUCCAGCUUUCUCUUUGGUAAUGCCUAGAUCACUCGGACAUACAGGAGGCCUUGCCUUUAUACCAAUUCGAGCAGAUACAAAACUUGCGGCUGUCCGACAUAGAAAACGUUUUCCCUUUGCCUCUGCCUGGAUCAUUCCUGCUGCAAAUACCGCCAUAUCUUUAUCGCUAGCUGCAUUCACUAUACAUGCCG
rnacentral:misc_RNA from 1 species